rnacentral:rRNA from 1 species
AGCGAACGCUGGCGGCAGGCUUAACACAUGCCAGUCGAGCGGACCUUUCGGGGUCAGCGGCGGACGGGUGAGUAACGCGUGGGAACGUGCCUUCCGGUUCGGAAUAACCCUGGGAAACUAGGGCUAAUACCGGAUACGCCCUUAUGGGGAAAGGUUUACUGCCGGAAGAUCGGCCCGCGUCUGAUUAGCUAGUUGGUGGGGUAACGGCCUACCAAGGCGACGAUCAGUAGCUGGUCUGAGAGGAUGAUCAGCCACACUGGGACUGAGACACGGCCCAGACUCCUACGGGAGGCAGCAGUGGGGAAUAUUGGACAAUGGGCGCAAGCCUGAUCCAGCCAUGCCGCGUGAGUGAUGAAGGCCUUAGGGUUGUAAAGCUCUUUUAUCCGGGACGAUAAUGACGGUACCGGAGGAAUAAGCCCCGGCUAACUUCGUG